rnacentral:lncRNA from 1 species
AAUCGGGCCUAGCAUAGGAAACCACACAGAAAAGUCUAGUUUGCCUCCCUGCUACAGUGUCGUCCCUAACCUCCAGCCGGCUGCCUAGCUGAGCCCGAGCCGCGCGCCGCGUCGCCUUUCCGCCUCCAAGUCCGCUCCAAUCCGACCCCGUUUCUUCCGGAUUUUUGAGGGGUUUUGAUCCUCUCAUCCUCCUCUAUCUUUUCCCCCAAGAAUCGGAGCAAAUCGUUGGGUAUUUUAUCCGAAUCAAACUCGUUUUCGAGUUUAUCUCCAAAACCGAGUUUUGAUUUUCCCGGAUCGAUUUCUUGCGGGAGGAGUCCGAUCUCUUCAAUCCAAGGCUAUAAAUAGGACCCCCUAGUCCUCCUCUUUCGUUUGCCCCCUCUCCCGUCCUCUCCCGUGACCCGUAGAGCCGUCGCCACCGUGCAAGCCGCCGCCGCCGUCGCUUCUUCGUCGCCGGCCGUCAUCCGUCGUCGUUCGUCGCGUUGGUGAGUACCAUCGGGUUCGUCUCGUCGUCCUCUACGUGUACAUGCCCUCCUUUUCCGCAGCCGGCCGCUCUAUCUCCGGCGAGGUCGCCAUCUUGGUUCGGCCAUGGGUGAUGUCAGCAUGACGUCAUCGGUUUAUCUUUUUCCCGUAGAUUAAAUCUUCGGAAAAUCAUAACUAAAUAACCAUAGAUCCGUUUCAGGUGGUUCAAGUUGCUAAAUUUUUCUAAAAUAAAGAUCUACAUAUUAAAAUUAUCCAUAAAUUGAAUUAAAUUUAUUUAAUUCUUUUUAAAUGGGCUUUAAUUAGAUUUAAUCUUGUAAAAUUCAUAAUAAAUUCAUUUGAAGUCAGAAUGAGGCCGUUCAAGUCUCAUAAUUCAUCUAAAAUUAUGAUCUACAUGUUUGUUUAUUUUUUAUAUACUGUUUAUUUGGUUUUUAUUAGUCUUUUUCUUCGUUUUGCGUGUUAGCUUGUCGUUUCCGUCGUUGCGAAGGUUCGUGAGUGCGUCGGAAGUGAUCAAGAAGAUUAAUUGAAGACCGAUUAUUGCAAGGCAAGUCACACAGAUCCUAAACACAAUCCUUUGAGCAUGUUGAUCCUAUAUUUAAAUUCUCUAUUUGUUUCAACUGUGCAUUUAUUUUCGAAUGUCACCGGGUGGUGUGAACCUAUUCCUUUGUUAUGGCCAAUUUGCAUUGAAUGCCCUAUUCCUUGAUACCUUGGGUAAUAAAUUGAUUAGCUUGAACCUUAUGUAUUGGUUUGGUUCAGCUAAAAGUUAUAUAUAUAAUUGCUUAGCAAUGCUUAGAAACAUUAGCUCACUAAUGGGAUGAAUCAUAUAUACUACAUUAUUAUUUAUGGUUAUAUUUAAUGGUAGCUCACGAUGGUUAAUCGUGUGAUGUUAAUUAAUUGAUAAUUAAAACCUGGUUAAGGUGGGUUGUGAGCAUAUGGUUUUGAUGGUUGUGCUCAUGACAAUUAAGGACCGGUUCGCGAGCUACUGUUGUGAGACAUUAACCGUACCAACCACAAGC